AUUGAACGCUGGCGGCAUGCCUUACACAUGCAAGUCGAACGGUAACAGGUCUUCGGAUGCUGACGAGUGGCGAACGGGUGAGUAAUACAUCGGAACGUGCCCGAUCGUGGGGGAUAACGAAGCGAAAGCUUUGCUAAUGCCGCAUAAGAUCUAAGGAUGAAAGCAGGGGACCGCAAGGCCUUGCGCGAACGGAGCGGCCGAUGGCAGAUUAGGUAGUUGGUGGGAUAAAAGCUUACCAAGCCGACGAUCUGUAGCUGGUCUGAGAGGACGACUAGCCACACUGGGACUGAGACACGGCCCAGACUCCUACGGGAGGCAGCAGUGGGGAAUUUUGGACAAUGGGCGAAAGCCUGAUCCAGCCAUGCCGCGUGCAGGAUGAAGGCCUUCGGGUUGUAAACUGCUUUUGUACGGAACGAAAAGACUCUGGUUAAUACCUGGGGUCCAUGACGGUACCGUAAGAAUAAGCACCGGCUAACUACGUGCCAGCCGCCGCCGUAAAAC
rnacentral:rRNA from 1 species